rnacentral:rRNA from 1 species
UACGUAGGAGGCAAGCGUUGUCCGGAGUUACUGGGCGUAAAGCGCACGCAGGCGGUCUUGUCAGUCUGUAGGGACAGGGCACAGCUCAACUGUGUCAGGCUUACGGAAACUGCAAGACUUGAGGGCUUCAGAGGGAUGGGGAAUUCCGGGUGGAGUGGUGAAAUGCGUAGAGAUCCGGAAGAACACCAAAGGCGAAGGCAGCUCGCUGGGACGGUACUGACGCUGAGGCGCGAAAGCGUGGGGAGCAAACAGG